UACAGAGGGUGCGAGCGUUGUCCGGAAUCACUGGGCGUAAAGGGCGCGUAGGCGGCUUGAUAAGGUUGCGGUGAAAGCCCGGGGCUCAACCCCGGGUCGGCCGUGGCAACUGUCGAGCUGGAGCACUGUAGAGGCAGGUGGAAUUCCGGGUGUAGCGGUGGAAUGCGUAGAGAUCCGGAGGAACACCGACGGCGCAGGCAGCGUCCUGGCCGCUUGCUGACACUGAGGCACGAAAGCUGGGGGAGCAAACAGG
rnacentral:rRNA from 1 species